GUGCCAGCAGCCGCGGUAAUACGGGGGGGGCAAGCGUUGUUCGGAAUUACUGGGCGUAAAGGGUGCGUAGGCGGUGCUCUAAGUCGGAUGUGAAAACUCUGGGCUCAACCCAGAGCCUGCAUCCGAAACUGGAGUGCUAGAGUUCUGGAGGGGGUAGCGGAAUUCCUGGUGUAGCGGUGAAAUGCGUAGAUAUCAGGAGGAACACCGGUGGCGAAGGCGGCUACCUGGACAGAAACUGACGCUGAGGCACGAAAGCUAGGGGAGCAAACAGGAUUAGAUACCCUGGUAGUCC
rnacentral:rRNA from 1 species